GUUGAUGUAGCUUACAAUAAAGCAAAGCACUGAAAAUGCUUAGAUGGAUUGUUAAAAAUCCCAUAAACA
rnacentral:tRNA from 1 species